UACGAAGGGGGCUAGCGUUGCUCGGAAUGACUGGGCGUAAAGGGCGCGUAGGCGGUUUGUACAGUCAGGUGUGAAAUUCCCGGGCUCAACCUGGGGGCUGCACUUGAUACGUAGGAACUGGAGUGGGGAAGAGGGUCGUGGAAUUCCCAGUGUAGAGGUGAAAUUCGUAGAUAUUGGGAAGAACACCGGUGGCGAAGGCGGCGACCUGGUCCUUGACUGACGCUGAGGCGCGAAAGCGUGGGGAGCAACAGG
rnacentral:rRNA from 1 species